rnacentral:rRNA from 1 species
AAGAAUAAGUCUAUGCUAAUACCAUAGGCGAUGACGGUACCGUUUGUGAGCUCCGGCUAACUCCGUGCCAGCAGCCGCGGUAAUACGGGGGGAGCAAGCGUUGUUCGGAUUUACUGGGCGUAAAGGGCGCGUAGGCGGCCACCGCAAGUCAGUUGUGAAAUCUCCGAGCUUAACUCGGAAAGGUCAACUGAUACUGCGGGGCUAGAGUGCGGAAGGGGCAACUGGAAUUCUUGGUGUAGCGGUGAAAUGCGUAGAUAUCAAGAGGAACACCUGCGGCGAAGGCGGGUUGCUGGGCCGACACUGACGCUGAGGCGCGAAAGCUAGGGGGAGCGAACGGGAUUAGAUACCCCGGUAGUCCUAGCCUUAAACGAUGAAUGCUUGGUGUCUGGGGUUAUAUAGUCCCCGGGUGCCGUCGCUAACGCUUUAAGCAUUCCGCCUGGGGAGUACGGUCGCAAGACUG